CGUUAUCCGGAUUUAUUGGGUUUAAAGGGUCCGUAGCGGAUGUGUAAGUCAGUGGUGAAAUCUCACAGCUUAACUGUGAAACUGCCAUUGAUACUGCAUGUCUUGAGUGUUGUUGAAGUAGCUGGAAUAAGUAGUGUAGCGGGUGAAAUGCAUAGAUAUUACUUAGAACACCAAUUGCGAAGGCAGGUUACUAAGCAACAACUGACGCUGAUGGACGAAAGCGUGGGGAGCGAACAGGAUUAGAUACCCUGGUAGUCCACGCCGUAAACGAUGCUAACUCGUUUUUGGUUUUUCGGAAUCAGAGACUAAGCGAAAGUGAUAAGUUAGCCACCUGGGGAGUACGU
rnacentral:rRNA from 1 species